GCGCGAGCAGGUGCGAAAGCAGGUCAUAGUGAUCCGGUGGUUCUGAAUGGAAGGGCCAUCGCUCAACGGAUAAAAGGUACUCCGGGGAUAACAGGCUGAUACCGCCCAAGAGUUCAUAUCGACGGCGGUGUUUGGCACCUCGAUGUCGGCUCAUCACAUCCUGGGGCUGAAGUAGGUCCCAAGGGUAUGGCUGUUCGCCAUUUAAAGUGGUACGCGAGCUGGGUUUAGAACGUCGUGAGACAGUUCGGUCCCUAUCUGCCGUGGGCGCUGGAGAACUGAGGGGGGCUGCUCCUAGUACGAGAGGACCGGAGUGGACGCAUCACUGGUGUUCGGGUUGUCAUGCCAAUGGCACUGCCCGGUAGCUAAAUGCGGAAGAGAUAAGUGCUGAAAGCAUCUAAGCACGAAACUUGCCCCGAGAUGAGUUCUCCCUGAGACUUAGAGUCUCCUGAAGGAACGUUGAAGACGACGACGUUGAUAGGCCGGGUGUGUAAGCGCAGCGAUGCGUUGAGCUAACCGGUACUAAUGAACCGUGAGGCUUAACCUUAC
rnacentral:rRNA from 1 species